rfam:Ictidomys tridecemlineatus contig073305, whole genome shotgun sequence.
UGCAGCGUAGCUCAGUGACAAAGCACUUGCCUAAGAUGCACGAGGCCCUGGGUUCCAUCCCCAGCACUGCAU